rnacentral:tRNA from 1 species
GCGCGCGUGCCGUAAUGGUAGCCGGGCCAGCUUGAGGUGCUGGUGUUCGCAAGGACGUGGAAGUUCAAGUCUUCUCGCGCGCA